AUGAAGAUGAUCUUUGUGGUGUUUGUGAUCCUGGUGCAUGUUUCCCAGCAUACCUCAGGAGUUGAGGUCUAUGAGGGGGUGGAGUCUGUGCUGCUGCCCUGCCAGGUAUCUAGGAUACCCGAGGACCUCACAGUGGUGUGGAGCCGCUUUGAUCUCAAUCCCACAACCAUCCACCAACAUCAGGAUAAAGAUGAGCUUUAUGUCCAAAACCAGCAUUACAGCAGUCGAACAACGAUGUCAGCUGACGCUCUGGAGACUGGAGACUUCAGCCUCACUCUAAAGAAACCCCGGCUCUUUGACAGCAGCAAAUACACCUGCAGCAUCCACAGUGGCGGAUAUGAAGUGAGACGGAUAAAAGUACAGCUGCAGGUCAAAGAACCAUACACUUUCCCGUCUGAGGCCUGGGUUCUCCUGGUUCUCCUGGGUGUUCUGGUUGUUGCUUUGGGUCUUGCAGUAUAUCUUAGGUACAGCGUCAUCACAGUCUCCAAGGUGGAGGUGGAAGAGGGGGUCAAGAGUGUCAAGCUUCGUUACAAAACCAAAACCCAGCUACCCGAGGACAUUACAGUGGAGUGGAGCUGCUGUGCACCUGUGCCCAGGAUGGUCCAUGUUUACAAGAAGGGCAGUGACCAAAAGGACCAGUUUAACCCCGGUCGCACAAAGAUUGCAAACCCACCAAAGAAUGGAGACCUCAGUCUGACACUGAGGGACCCCUGUUACAGGGAUAGUGGCACUUACAUCUGCACUGUCUACACUGAGCAAGAAAUCUUGGCACAAAAAGUAGUACAGCUCCGGGUCAAAGUCCAGGGGAAGGUAGUGGUCGAGGAGUGGGAUGAAUUUGUCAAGUUGCCCUUCAUAACUACAGCUGAGCUGCCUAAAGACGCAACAGUGGAAUGGAGGCGCACUGAACCCAAAGCCAUGAUGGUUCAUGCGUAUCAGAAAGGCCAAGAUAGGCCUGAGAAACAGGAUGAAUAUUACCGUGAUCGCACAAAGAUGAACAAUGACCCACUGAAAUCCAAAGACCUCAGUGUGACCCUAUGUCACCCUGGUUACAGUGACAGAGGGACCUACAUCUGCACUGUUUACAAGAAUGGAUGGAUCCUGGCAAAGAAAGUAGUGCUGGUUUGUGUCAAAGUCUCCAGUGUGAAGCCUGCCAAGCUGCCUUACCAAAUCGCAGCUCACCUGCUUGAGGAUGCCACAGUGGAGUGGAGUCGCUGUGACCCCAAACCCAUGAAGGUCCAUGUAUGUCAGAAUGGCCAAGACCAGCCUGACAAACAGGACAAGCUUUACAUCAACCGAACAAAGAUGAAGAGAGAAAUGCUUAAAACUGGAGACCUCAGUCUGACCCUGAGUAACCCUAGUUACAGUGACAAUGGCAUUUAUAUCUGCACAGUUUACAGGGACGGACACAUCCUGGCAAGAAAAGUAGUGCUGCGUCAGGCCAAAGUCCACCAGGAGGAAGUGGACGAGGGGACAGAGUCUGUCCAGAUGCCCUUUCAAAGCUCAGUUCAACUGCCUGAUGGUGCCAGAGUGGAGUGGAGCCGCUGUGAACCCAAACCCAUAAAGGUCCAUGUCUAUCAUAAUGGCCAGAACCAGCCUGAGGAGCAGGACAAGUUUUACCAAGGUCGGACAAUAGUGAAAGAAAAUCUACUUCAAACUGGUGAUCUUAGUCUGACCCUGAGCAAACCCACUGACAAUGACAGCGAUUUCUACAUCUGCACUAUUAACGUGGAUGGAGACAUCGUAUGGCAGAAUGUUGUACAGCUACAGGUCAAAGUCCAGACGGAGGUGGAAGUUGAGGAGUGGUCUACGUCUUUCACACUGCCCUUCAAAAUUGUGGCUGACCUGCCCAAAGAUGCAACAGUGGAAUGGAGGCGCUCUGAACCCAAAGCCAUGAUGGUUCAUGAGUAUCAGAAAGGCCACAACAAGCCUGACAAACAGGAUGAAUAUUAUUGUGAUCGCACAAAGAUGAACAAUGACCCACUGCAAUCCAAAGACCUCAGUUUGACCCUUUAUAAGCCUGGCUACAGUGACAGAGGAACCUACAUCUGCACUGUUCUCAGGGAUGGACAAAUCAUGGCACAGAAAGCAGUGGUGGUCAAAGUCUCCACCUUGAAACCUGCCAACCUGCCUUACCAAAUCGCAGCUGACCUGCUUGAGAAUGCCACAGUGGAGUGGAGUCGCUGUGACCCCAAACCCAUGAAGGUCCAUGUGUGUCAGAAUGGCCAAGACCAGCCUGACAAACAGGACAAGCUUUACAGCAACCGAACAAAGAUGAAUAGAGAAAUGCUUAAAACUGGAGACCUCAGUCUGACCCUGAAUAACCCCAGAGACAGUGACAGUGGCAUUUAUAUCUGCACCGUCUACAGGGACAGCGACAUCCUGGCAAGAAAAGUAGUGCGGCAUCAGGCCGGAGUCCACCAGGAGGAAGUGGACGAGGGGACAGAGUCUGUCCAGAUGCACUUUCAAAGCUCAGUUCAACUGCCUGAUGGUGCCACAGUGGAGUGGAGCCGUUGUGAACCCAAACCCAUAAAGGUCCAUGUCUAUCAUAAUGGCCAGAACCAGCCUGAGGAGCAGGACGAGUUUUACCAAGGUCGCACAAAGGUGAAGGAAAGUCUGCUGGUAACUGGAGAUUUCACUCUGACCCUGAGCAAACCCACCACCAGAGACAGUGAUUACUACAUCUGCACUGUCCGUGAGGAUGAAGACAUCAUAUGGCAGAAUGUUGUAGAGCUGCAGGUCAAAGCAAGAAGAUGGAUGAGAAUGAAAAGAAGACAGGACCGAGAUGAAACAGACGACAUUGUGAACAUGCCCUUGAUGGCCAGCCCCAAUGUGUAGUGCUCCGUAUAAUUUGUCUUAUUCGGUAUAGCUUUGGUGGAUAAUUGAUGGAAUCUGAACUGCGAAUUAAAACGGGGCUUGUGGAUUCCUUCCUUCUCAUUUGCUGUUGUCAGCCCAUUCUCAACCGUAAAUCAUGGAAUACUGCAGCUAUGUCAGUUCAAAUUAUGAUGCUAUAGGUAUCCCUCUAACGUUACUACUGGAUGUGCCUGUGUAGGGUAAUGUUUUGAUGUUCUGUUGAAGUCAUGUGAAAUAGUAUAAAGAGCAAAAAGUCCACGUAUGGAGGUGGUGAGGAGGAUGGAAGACUCAAACAAGACUUUCAUACAGGAGACGGCUGUUUGUAUCCCAUUAGAAAACAAAAGUUAAUGUUGACUCCUUUUAGGUAAAGUUCUACUUGACCACAGAGCCCCGCACGUACAAAACUGAUGCUGGAGGGAUACCGCUGACCAAGCUGCAGUUCUUGAUGAGCUGGAAGUGAGAACGUAUUUCAGUUGUGUAAAAUAAAUGUUGCUGUUAAAUAUUCAGAGUUUCUGAGUUUCUAUAAUGUUUUAGUUAAAAUCAUUAUUCCAUUAUGCUCCUACCUUCAAUAACUCAGUACAUGCAUUAGUUUCUGAUUAUUACACUUGCUUUUAAAUCUCCUUCUCUGGAACACACUGUAUUGUUUUUUCACAUUAGCUGUAUGUAUGUUUUACUUUACACUACGUAUUGGAUUGCCUCUUGCUGCUGCCUCUUGGCCAGGACAUCAAUGUAAAUGAGAAUUGGUUCUCGAUUGAUAUCUCCGGUUAAAUAAAUAAACAAAAAUGCAUCCAGCUGUUGAAUUGAAUUGGAAGAAUUGUUGUGUUUUCCUUACCUUAGAAUAACCUCUUUUUGUGCCUGGGUAGGAUAAAAGAAAAUGGACAAGGGAGUGGGUCGCCUUCCGUGAACUGCCAUUUUUCUACAGUAGCCCUGAAGGGACAAACAAAACGCUGCUUCAAGAUAGGUCUGUUUGCUGUUUUUGCGUUUUGUGGCCACCGUAGUUUCUCCUCUGUGCUUGAAAGGGGAGGGUGAAUUGAGGGAGUAGCAAUCUGCAAAAGACAGAAGUGCUAAUAAUCAGAACAUUGCUGCAGCUUUCACUAAGUUGAUGCACAGAGCAGCCAUCUUAAAAUAAGAUGUUCCUUUAUUGAUCCCCUAUGGGAGAAAUCCAAGUCAGACACAGAAGCACAAGGGAAUGUAGUACAACAAGUAGAGAAGUGUAAGUACAAUAAAGAAUCAUAAAGUAAAAAUAUUAUAAAGACAUAAUAGAAAACAUAAGACUACAAUGAAAAAUACAUACUCUUUAUGUAGUGUGCAGUAAAAUGGUGUGCAAAUUAUUUUAAGCAGAAUAAGUGCAAGUGGAAGGAGUAGUUUGUACAGAGAGUUUGUAGGUUAAGGAUAAACCAGUCUUAUUCAGCUGGGGUUGGAGGAACUUGGAUUUUGAGGUUGGUGAGGUUCUUCCAACUUUCCAAGUUGGAAAUCUGACUUCCCAGUCCAAAUGGAACGCAUUAUAAUCAGGUGAUUAUUUAGAACAAUGAACAAUAUGAAAGGAAUGAAAGCAACCUGUCAGUCUGAUUCUGCUGUUUGAUAACAACUGGAUCAACAAGUCUCACACACACACACACACACACACAGUUGGGCUGAAGCUCCUCCUGUUUCCUCAGAAGUGUCUCAGUUGCAUCCCUCACCUCAUUCAGGAUUUAACUCUGAACCUGAACUCUGAGGUCACUGUACUUUUAUUCAUAUAGUUUAUGAUAAAUGAAGAACACUUUAAUUCAACAUAAACUGUAUGAUUAACAAACUAUUAAGUCAUCAAAUACUGCACUUUACACUUUAUUUAUAGAGCACUUGUGAGGAAGAGUAUUGAGUAUUGAACAUAAAAGUAAACACAUAGUAGUACAAUGACAUAUGAAAUACAACAAUACAGAGAAUGAACCAGACGGAGCCAAAUGAACUAAAAUCAGAUGAAACUAUCUGACACUGUUAUAAAGCUGAUCAACCUGAUAUUUUACAUUCUUAUAUCUCAUGAUCCCAGUCACAGAAAAAGGCUAUCUGAUCUGAUAAUUGAUCGAUAAUCAGUUUAGUUUUCCCAACAUAGUGUAAGUUACAUGGUUACACAGGUUAAAUGUACCUGGUAAGAAAUUCUUAUAAGGAAGUUUUUCCUUGCCCUUGUCUCCAAGGUCUUGCUCAUGGUGGUACUGUUGGGUCUCUGUAAAUAAUGUUAUAAAGAGUUCGGUCUAGACCUGCUCUAUUUGAAAAGUGUCCUGAGAUAACUUCUGUUAUGAAUUGGCACAAUACAAAUAAAAUUUAACUGGAUUGAAUUGAACGACCUGAUGGCAGCAUAUAUGGCUACAAAUAUAUAGUCUGCCUGUUAACUGCAAAUUGGUUGCAGGCAGUUUUUUUCUUCCAGAGCUCUUCACCUGUAUUAUUAAGGAAAAUAUAAUAAUACCUAUUGAAUCAGCACUCAGUAGAUAAUCAAUAUGUAUAUGUGUAUAUACACUACUCACAGAAAGUUAGGGAUAUUCGGCUUUCGGAUGAAAUUUCAGAAUGUACAUAAAAUGCACUAUAACCUUUCCAGGUGAUCUUAAUUUGAACUUCUAUACUUAAAUGCCCUACUUUCAUGAUAUAAUAUCACUGUAGCAUCAACUUUUUACAUUUUCCAUACAUUUCACCCGAA
rnacentral:lncRNA from 15 species